UAGUGUUACAGGUCUUUUAGAAUUUGUCUAGCAGGUUUCCCCGU
ensembl:snRNA U7 U7 small nuclear RNA